GAUGAACGCUGGCCGCGUGCCUAAUACAUGCAAGUCGAGCGAACGGACGAGAAGCUUGCUUCUCUGAUGUUAGCGGCGGACGGGUGAGUAACACGUGGAUAACCUACCUAUAAGACUGGGAUAACUUCGGGAAACCGGAGCUAAUACCGGAUAAUAUUUUGAACCGCAUGGUUCAAAAGUGAAAGACGGUCUUGCUGUCACUUAUAGAUGGAUCCGCGCUGCAUUAGCUAGUUGGUAAGGUAACGGCUUACCAAGGCAACGAUGCAUAGCCGACCUGAGAUGGUGAUCGGCCACACUGGAACUAAGACACGGUCCAGACUACUACCGGAGGCAGCAGUAGGGAAUCUUCCGCAAUGGGCGCAAGCCUGACGGAGCAACGCCGCGUGAGUGAUGAAGGUCUUCGGAUCUUAAAACUCUGUUAUUAGGGAAGAACAUAUGUGUAAGUAACUGUGCACAUCUUGACGCUACCUAAUCAGAGAGCCACGGCUAACUACGUG
rnacentral:rRNA from 1 species